ACUGAACGCUGGCGGCAUGCCUUACACAUGCAAGUCGAACGGCAGCACGGGGCAACCUGGUGGCGAGUGGCGAACGGGUGAGUAAUGCAUCGGAACGUACCUUUCAGUGGGGGAUAACGUAGCGAAAGUUACGCUAAUACCGCAUAUUCUGUGAGCAGGAAAGCAGGGGAUCGCAAGACCUUGCGCUGAUUGAGCGGCCGAUGUCAGAUUAGCUAGUUGGUGAGGUAAAGGCUCACCAAGGCGACGAUCUGUAGCGGGUCUGAGAGGAUGAUCCGCCACACUGGAACUGAGACACGGUCCAGACUCCUACGGGAGGCAGCAGUGGGGAAUUUUGGACAAUGGGGGCAACCCUGAUCCAGCCAUGCCGCGUGAGUGAAGAAGGCCUUCGGGUUGUAAUGCUCUUUCGGCCGGGAAGAAAUCGCACGGGCUAAUACCCUGUGUGGAUGACGGUACCGGAAUAAGAAGCACCGGCUAACUACGUGCCAGCAGCCGCCGUAAUAC
rnacentral:rRNA from 1 species